rnacentral:tRNA from 1 species
UUAGUUAAAGCCAAAGAGAGGCGUGUCACUGUUAAUGACAUAACUGAAAUAUAAAUUUCUAACUAAG